rnacentral:rRNA from 1 species
CCUGAACCAGCCACGUCGCGUGAAGGAUGAAGGUCUUCGGGUUUGUAAACUUUUUUUUCAAGGGAAUAAAGUGGGGGACGUGUCCUCCUUUGCAUGUGCCUUGUCAAUAAGGAUCGCCUAGCUCCAUGCCAGGAGCCGCGGUUAUUCGGAAGAUCCGAGCGUUNUCCGGAUUUAUUGGGUUUAAAGGGUGCUCAGGCAAAAAUGUUAGCUUAACCGUUAAAUUUUGCUGCUCACUGUAAAAGUGCCUUCGAUACUGGCUUUCUUGAGUGUGGAUGAAGUAGGCGGAAUUUGUGGUGUAGCGGUGAAAUGCUUAGAUAUCACGAGGAACUCCUAUUGCGCAGGCAGCUUACUAAACCACAACUGACGCUCAUGCACGAAAGCGUGGGGAUCAAACAGGAUUAGAUACCCUGGUAGUCCACGCAGUAAACGAUGAUUACUAGUUGUUUGCGAUACAAUGUAAGCGACUGAGCGAAAGCGUUAAGUAAUCCACCUGGGGAGUACGUUCGCAAGAAUGAAACUCAAAUGAAUUGACGG